rnacentral:rRNA from 1 species
AAAGCAUUGGCGUCCCUCUUGAUACUCACGUCAUGGGAAAUCUGAAACGAGAGGAAGGCAUGGGUGCUCCAGAAUGUGUACGCUUCGCCGAUGGCUAUCCUCGCCAAAAUCCGCCGAGAGGCUGCUCGCUGGGCCAUCGCCAGUGCGAAACAUUUCAACGCACGCAUGUCGCGAGAGUAG